CGCCCUUCCUCGCGCCGCCGCCGGCCAAUGCGGGCUGCGGCGAGGAGCCGGCUUUAACCAUCUGUUGCGAGGCGCCUCCUCCAAGCGCUGCCGCCUCCCUUGCCGAGGGGCGCCCGCCCAGACGCCCCGCCGAGGAGGGUUCUCCACAUGGGAUGUGAGGAGGCUGGUCGUGGUAUUGCGUGGAGCAUUGUGCCUCAAGCCACUUGAACGGGCAUAAAGCAGCGCUAAGAUCUUUCUCUGUGUGUUUGGACUUCAUGGACGUCUCCUGUGGUGAAGCUGUUCCAGAAGAAUCGAGAGUCUCCCUAUUAAAGUCCUAGCUUUUCACGAAAAAGGUACUGAAGAUACACAUACGGAGACACUCUUCACUUUACUGCUUUGCGUACUAUCAGCAUAUAUAGAGGUCAAACAGAGGAUGGUAGAAAAUGGAACAAUCCACAGGCAAACAGCUGGAUGCUGAAACAUUGAGAAAAGAACUGUUUUUUUUCAGUCGUGCAAGAAGUUUUGGCAGAGUCCAAAAGCAUAUGCAGCUAACCCUUAGAUUUCCUGUAUAAUUGGAUGAAUCACUUCAUCAGGCUCCUCUCUCACUCCCGAGUGCCAUCAGAUGCUCAGACGCACCCCACAAUGGUCAGCUGGGAAAGAAUUCCAUAAUUCUUGAUCAACACUCAAACAAUUUAAGAAGAUUUUGGAAAAUCUGACUAGUUUUUAAUCUACACUCUGAUUUCUUAUGCUGUUCCCUGCUUAUCAAAGACAGAUACUGUGCAGGUCAAGGGUUUCAGCAUCUCGACCUGGGGUUGAGUCUCACAGUCUUUCCUCAGAGCAGCUUCGCGCAAAGGACCCAUUGACGUCAAUGGGAGUUGUGCCUAAACAACAGCAGCAGAUUCUGGCCCCUGAAUUCACUCCAAGGAGACAGAGCUUGAAAAAUUCUUUGCAGCAGAUGCCUCAACAAGACCACGCCAUCAGUACAGACGUUGCAUAAGUUUCUGAAGCUCCCAAAGGAUUGUAGAGAAAGUUGUUCCAGAAAACAGUAAUGCCGAUAUGUAUGCUGACAUGCAUGAAAGUGUUCGCCCGUCUUUUAUAUAAGACUCUUUGUAUGAGAAGUUCUGACCUCUGCGACUGAAUAAUCAUGUUCCUCAUAACUGGAGAAGCGGCUGGACAGCUCUGUGAUUUUGUUAGCGAGAGAGAUGGGGCAGUGACGCAGGGAGGCUAAGUGACUUGCUCAGGAUAGCAAAGGACGCUGGGCAUGGUGAGCCUGAGAACUCAGAAAUUGCUGCCUUAAGGACGCUACAAUUUGUUCCUUUUGCAUUAAACAGCUUCAACAAUAGCCACACAAGAAGUCUGAACAUUGUGGAAAAGAACUGAUCUUUUCCUGGCUGGAUGGUUCCAAAAUUUCCAUUCAACAAAAACCUGGAAAUCUGUACGAAGCUGAGUGAGCUAGCUUUCAAAGCUCCUUGAAAAACUAGAGGCUUGUAGGAAUGAAGAAAAACCACUCCUGAAUUUCAUCUUCUGGAUUGUCUUUCAAAUGAAAUCUGCCCGCCCAUUUGAAAUUUCAGUCCUUUCCAGCUCCAAUGCUUUGCUUUUUUUCACGAUCCAUUUGUUCUGCUACAAUUUAGCAGCAGCCUGCACACCCAAAGUAAACACUAACUUCUAAACGCAUCAGAAUGAUGCCACCCACACCUCCAAGUGCAUUUACAUAUCCCGUAAGACACCGAAAUCUCUGUACACAGUAUGAGUCACUAAACUUCAGUUCGUCAGGCUGUGCAGUGCACUUAACUGCCUCCAGGGCACUUGCUAGUCCCACAUCAUACCUCCCA